rnacentral:rRNA from 1 species
GGGUUGUGAGGUUAAGCGACUAAGCGUACACGGUGGAUGCCCUGGCAGUCAGAGGCGAUGAAGGACGUGCUAAUCUGCGAAAAGCGCCGGCGAGGUGAUAUGAACCCUUGACCCGGCGAUGUCCGAAUGGGGAAACCCAGUGUGAUUCGUCACACUAUCGUUAACUGAAUACAUAGGUUAACGAGGCGAACCGGGGGAACUGAAACAUCUAAGUACCCCGAGGAAAAGAAAUCAACCGAGAUUCCCCCAGUAGCGGCGAGCGAACGGGGAGCAGCCCAGAGUCUGAAUCAGCUUGUGUGUUAGUGGAAGCGUCUGGAAAGUCGCACGGUACAGGGUGAUAGUCCCGUACACGAAAGCACACAGGCUGUGAACUCGAAGAGUAGGGCGGGACACGUGGUAUCCUGUCUGAAUAUGGGGGGACCAUCCUCCAAGGCUAAAUACUCCUGACUGACCGAUAGUGAACCAGUACCGUGAGGGAAAGGCGAAAAGAACCCCGGCGAGGGGAGUGAAAAAGAACCUGAAACCGUGUACGUACAAGCAGUGGGAGCACCUUCGGGUGUGACUGCGUACCUUUUGUAUAAUGGGUCAGCGACUUAUAUUCUGUAGCAAGGUUAACCGUAUAGGGGAGCCGAAGGGAAACCGAGUCUUAACUGGGCGUUAAGUUGCAGGGUAUAGACCCGAAACCCGGUGAUCUAGCCAUGGGCAGGUUGAAGGUUGGGUAACACUAACUGGAGGACCGAACCGACUAAUGUUGAAAAAUUAGCGGAUGACCUGUGGCUGGGGGUGAAAGGCCAAUCAAACCGGGAGAUAGCUGGUUCUCCCCGAAAGCUAUUUAGGUAGCGCCUCGUGAACUCAUCUUCGGGGGUAGAGCACUGUUUCGGCUAGGGGGCCAUCCCGGCUUACCAACCCGAUGCAAACUACGAAUACCGAAGAAUGUUAUCACGGGAGACACACGGCGGGUGCUAACGUCCGUCGUGAAGAGGGAAACAACCCAGACCGCCAGCUAAGGUCCCAAAGUCAUGGUUAAGUGGGAAACGAUGUGGGAAGGCCCAGACAGCCAGGAUGUUGGCUUAGAAGCAGCCAUCAUUUAAAGAAAGCGUAAUAGCUCACUGGUCGAGUCGGCCUGCGCGGAAGAUGUAACGGGGCUAAACCAUGCACCGAAGCUGCGGCAGCGACGCUUAUGCGUUGUUGGGUAGGGGAGCGUUCUGUAAGCCGUUGAAGGUGGCCUGUGAGGGUUGCUGGAGGUAUCAGAAGUGCGAAUGCUGACAUAAGUAACGAUAAAGCGGGUGAAAAGCCCGCUCGCCGGAAGACCAAGGGUUCCUGUCCAACGUUAAUCGGGGCAGGGUGAGUCGACCCCUAAGGCGAGGCCGAAAGGCGUAGUCGAUGGGAAACAGGUUAAUAUUCCUGUACUUGGUGUUACUGCGAAGGGGGGACGGAGAAGGCUAUGUUAGCCGGGCGACGGUUGUCCCGGUUUAAGCAUGUAGGCGGAGGUUCCAGGUAAAUCCGGUACCUUUUAACGCUGAGGUGUGAUGACGAGGCACUACGGUGCUGAAGUAACAAAUGCCCUGCUUCCAGGAAAAGCCUCUAAGCAUCAGGUAACACGAAAUCGUACCCCAAACCGACACAGGUGGUCAGGUAGAGAAUACCAAGGCGCUUGAGAGAACUCGGGUGAAGGAACUAGGCAAAAUGGUGCCGUAACUUCGGGAGAAGGCACGCUGAUAUGUAGGUGAAGCCCCUGCGGGUGGAGCUGAAAUCAGUCGAAGAUACCAGCUGGCUGCAACUGUUUAUUAAAAACACAGCACUGUGCAAACACGAAAGUGGACGUAUACGGUGUGACGCCUGCCCGGUGCCGGAAGGUUAAUUGAUGGGGUUAGCGGCAACGCGAAGCUCUUGAUCGAAGCCCCGGUAAACGGCGGCCGUAACUAUAACGGUCCUAAGGUAGCGAAAUUCCUUGUCGGGUAAGUUCCGACCUGCACGAAUGGCGUAAUGAUGGCCAGGCUGUCUCCACCCGAGACUCAGUGAAAUUGAACUCGCUGUGAAGAUGCAGUGUACCCGCGGCAAGACGGAAAGACCCCGUGAACCUUUACUAUAGCUUGACACUGAACACUGGUCCUUGAUGUGUAGGAUAGGUGGGAGGCUUUGAAGCGUGGACGCCAGUCUGCGUGGAGCCGUCCUUGAAAUACCACCCUUUAAUGGCUGGUGUUCUAACGUAGACCCGUAAUCCGGGUUGCGGACAGUGUCUGGUGGGUAGUUUGACUGGGGCGGUCUCCUCCCAAAGAGUAACGGAGGAGCACGAAGGUUAGCUAAUCCUGGUCGGACAUCAGGAGGUUAGUGCAAUGGCAUAAGCUAGCUUGACUGCGAGAGUGACGGCUCGAGCAGGUGCGAAAGCAGGUCAUAGUGAUCCGGUGGUUCUGAAUGGAAGGGCCAUCGCUCAACGGAUAAAAGGUACUCCGGGGAUAACAGGCUGAUACCGCCCAAGAGUUCAUAUCGACGGCGGUGUUUGGCACCUCGAUGUCGGCUCAUCACAUCCUGGGGCUGAAGUAGGUCCCAAGGGUAUGGCUGUUCGCCAUUUAAAGUGGUACGCGAGCUGGGUUUAGAACGUCGUGAGACAGUUCGGUCCCUAUCUGCCGUGGGCGCUGGAGAAUUGAGGGGGGCUGCUCCUAGUACGAGAGGACCGGAGUGGACGCAUCACUGGUGUUCGGGUUGUCAUGCCAAUGGCACUGCCCGGUAGCUAAAUGCGGAAGAGAUAAGUGCUGAAAGCAUCUAAGCACGAAACUUGCCCCGAGAUGAGUUCUCCCUGA